AUUGAACGCUGGCGGCAGGCCUAACACAUGCAAGUCGAACGAGUGGCGGACGGGUGAGUAAUGUCUGGGAAACUGCCUGAUGGAGGGGGCUAACUCCUGGAACCGGUAGCUAAUACCGCAUACCAUCAGAUGUGCCCAGAUGGGAUUAGCUAGUGGGUGGGGUAACGGCUCACCAAGGCGACGAUCCCUAGCUGGUCUGAGAGGAUGACCAGCCACACUGGAACUGAGACACGGUCCAGACUCCUACGGGAGGCAGCAGUGGGGAAUAUUGCACAAUGGGCGCAAGCCUGAUGCAGCCAUGCCGCGUGUAUGAAGAAGGCCUUCGGGUUGUAAAGGACUUUCAGCGGGGAGGCGUUACCCGCAGAAGAAGCAACGGCUAACUACGUGCCAGCAGCCGCGGUAAUUC
rnacentral:rRNA from 1 species